UCUCGACAGACUCACUACAUACAUUAUAGCCGACGGCCGCCCAAUGUCACUCCUGUUGGCAGACACUAAGCCUCAUGUACCAUCCACACCACCCCGACUGGACGAGACACUACAAAGGAUGACUUGAGCCAACAAAAACGCCCCUAAGCGGCCCACAUAAAUACACACAAUUAACUGACUAGUCGAUACUCACAUAUCGCCCCUAACUAGACAGCACGACACAGCGACGGACUAUGAGCCCUCACAGGCAAGAACAACGGUCUCCGGACCUCCACCACCCCCAAGGAGGGGAAGAGAUAAAAUGAGACAGAUCUAACACUGCACGUUAUCCACACCCAAUCAGUUGAUAAACGUCAGACACAUCACCCUGACCCCCAUGAGAACCCUGAUUAUACACCAUAUGACAAAACAGGCUGACUGGGACCUGACCGGACAGACGAACCAUCCGAGGGACUGGGUGUUGCAGAACACAACGACCCUCACAUGUAGGGACCCCUCGCCCUCAACCCUCCUUACUUAUGACGACGAUAUACCUUCACACCCACGGGGCAUUACGGCUAACUUGUACCUCAUACCUCCAUCAACACAAGACACCUAAUACGACACUUCCAACGCACGCCUAUUGCGACAUGC